rnacentral:rRNA from 1 species
GUAUGGAAAAGCAAAUGUAGGUAUAAGUAACGAUAAAGGGGGUGGGAAACCCCCUCGCCGAAAGACUAAGGUUUCCUGAUCAACGCUAAUCGGAUCAGGGUAAGUCGGGACCUAAGGCUCAGCCGAACGGCGAGGCCGAUGGCAGAAACGGUCAAGAUUCCGUUACUACCUUACAGGGUGACGUGGAGACGCAGAAGUGGCACUGCCGCGGGCUGACGGAAUAGCCCGUUGAAGAGUGUAGGCGUUGAUCCCCGCAGGCAAAUCCGUGGGGAGAGCCGACCUUGAGAGUACACCAAUUCCUCCGGGAUGCGGUGACAGCGCAGGUAAGCAGACUGCCGAGAAAAUCCGCUAAACAUAACCUGUAAGGUACCCGUACCGCAAACGGACACACGUAGUCGGGUUGAAUAUACUAAGGCGCUUGAGUGAAUCACGGUUAAGGAACUAGGCAAACUGACCCUGUAACUUCGGGAUAAAGGGUCCCUCCUCGCAAGAGAGGGCGCAGAGAAUAGGUCCAGGCAACUGUUUAACAAAAACACAGGGCUGUGCGAAUAUGAAAGUAGAAGUAUACAGCCUGACACCUGCCCGGUGCUGGAAGGUUAAGAGGAGACGUCAUCGCAAGAGAAGCGUUGAAUUGAAGCCCCAGUAAACGGCGGCCGUAACAAUAACGGUCCUAAGGUAGCGAAAUCCCUUGUCGGGUAAGUUCCGACCUGCACGAAUGGUGUAAUGAUCCGGACGCUGUCUCAACCGUGAGCUCAGUGAAAUUGUAGUAUCGGUGAAGAUGCCGAUUACCCGCGAUGGGACGAAAAGACCCCGUGAACCUUUACUAUAGCUUAGCAUUGGAUUUGGGCACGCGAUGUGUAGGAUAGGUCGGAGGCUUUGAGGCGGGCACGCCAGUGUCCGUGGAGCCGCUGUUGAAAUACGACCCUUCGUUUGUUUGAGUUCUAACUCCGGGUUGGAGGACAUUGCUUGGUGGGUAGUUUGACUGGGGUGGUCGCCUCCAAAAGCGUAACGGAGGCUUCUAAAGGUGCCCUCAGGACGAUCGGUAACCGUCCGCAGAGUGUAAUGGCAUAAGGGCGCUUGACUGGGAGACAGACAGGUCGAGCAGGUAGGAAACUAGAGCAUAGUGAUCCGGUGUUUCCGUAUGGAAGGGACAUCGCUCAAAGGAUAAAAGGUACUCCGGGGAUAACAGGCUGAUCCCUCCCAAGAGCUCAUAUCGACGGAGUGGUUUGGCACCUCGAUGUCGGCUCGUCACAUCCUGGGGCUGGAGAAGGUCCCAAGGGUUGGGCUGUUCGCCCAUUAAAGUGGCACGCGAGCUGGGUUCAGAACGUCGUGAGACAGUUCGGUCUCUAUCUAUCGUGGGCGUAUGAAAUUUGCGUGGCUCUGACACUAGUACGAGAGGACCGUGUUGGACCGACCUCUGGUUUACCGGUUGUGCCGCCAGGUGCAUCGCCGGGUAUCCAAGUCGGGAUCGGAUAAGCGCUGAAAGCAUCUAAGUGCGAAGCCGGCCACAAGAUUAGAUUUCUCAGGGUCGUCAAAGACGAUGACGUCGAUAGGAUGCAGGUGUAAAGGUGGAGACACCAAAGCCGAGCAUUACUAAUUGCCC